rnacentral:rRNA from 1 species
UACAGAGGUCUCAAGCGUUGUUCGGAUUCAUUGGGCGUAAAGGGUGCGUAGGCGGCGCGGUAAGUCGGGUGUGAAAUCUCGGGGCUUAACUCCGAAACUGCAUUCGAUACUGCCGUGCUUGAGGACUGGAGAGGAGACUGGAAUUUACGGUGUAGCGGUGAAAUGCGCAGAUAUCGGGAGGAACACCGGUGGCGAAGGCGGUUCUCUGGGCCUUACCUGACGCUGAGGAGCGAAAGCGUGGGGAGCGA